UCCCUGGUUGCCUAGAGGUAAGUUAAGGAUCCGGCAUUUUCAUUGCUGUGGCGCAGGUUCGAUCCCUGCCCUGGGAA
rnacentral:tRNA from 1 species